UCACUGUUUCAGAGGUAAUCCUGAAAAAAUGAGUCUCAAACAAAUGUUCUCGCCUCCUGUGAGAUGCGCUUUGUGCUUUAAUUAUCCGUUACUGCGUUCCGUCAAAGCAAAUGCCUUUUGUUCGUCAUCCUCUUCUUCAAUCGAGUAUCAGCCAUGGACAGGACUUCAAAGAUGGAGAGAAAGUUCUCUUAACAACAACCGGACAUGGGGUUCCAAUGGUCCAGAACAAUCACCGCUAAGUCAAUCUGUUGACGAUGAUGUCAUUGCUUCUGCUUCUUCCCUUUCUGAAUUUGGAACCCUAGUUCUUUCUACAAGUGACCCUCUCACUAAAUGUAAGCUGUCGCACCUCGCUUACACGAGAUGGCGCCGUGAGAAUCUCCCACUAGGCAUUUCUACUCCUCCUGAUCGUCCUGCUCGGCCCCCAAAACCUAAUCUGGUUUCUCCAAAAGAGGUUCCAGCUCCCAAGAAGUCAGGUUUGCCACUUAAUGCUUAUAUGCUGCAUAACCUUGCUCAUGUGGAGCUCAAUGCUGUUGAUCUGGCAUGGGAUACAGUUGUUCGGUUCUCUCAGUAUAGCGAUGUUCUUGGAGAUGGGUUCUUUGCUGAUUUUGCAAAUGUUGCUGAUGACGAGAGUCGGCAUUUUAGUUGGUGUUCACAGAGAUUAGCUGAACUUGGUGUUAGCUACGGAGAUAUGCCUGCUCAUAAUUUGCUUUGGAGGGAGUGCGAGAAAUCAUCUGGAGAUGUUGCAGCACGUCUUGCAGUAAUUCCUCUAGUUCAAGAGGCUAGAGGGCUUGAUGCUGGGCCGCGGCUUGUGCAAAAGUUAAUUGGCUUUGGAGAUUGUAGGACAUCAGACAUUGUGUCUAGGAUUGCCGACGAGGAAGUUGCACAUGUAGCUGUUGGUGUUUUCUGGUUUAUUUCGGUAUGCCAAAGAUUAGGUCGUGUACCUUGUGUAACCUUUAAAGACUUACUAAAAGAGUACAAUGUGGAGGUGAAGGGCCCCUUCAAUUAUUCAGCUCGAGAAGAAGCUGGACUCCCACGUCAUUGGUACGAUGAUUCUAAAGAGUUGCUGCAUAAGAGCAAGCAACUUUCAGAGGUUCAUGAUAGGCUUGCGCUCAUCAUAUCUAUGGAGAAAGAGAAUUCAAGUUUGAAUAGUUAACCGUGUUGAGUACAGCCCUGGUGUCAAAUCCCUUGAGCCCCCACUAAGGGUAUGAGAGUGGAACACCGCACUUGGUAGGGAGUCCACUAGCUGCAUCUUCCUUUAUGUUCUGGUACUUAUUAGCCGCAUCUUUAACACAGCUGCAAGCUUGGCGCUUUUCAUCGGUGGUAGUUGCCAUCCCUUUGAUUUGCUUGACUCCAUCACAACAUGCUGUAACUGGCUGGGCGGCACUGCCAACUAAGUAUGGCAUGCAUUGCACAAGGGACUUAUCAACGUCGGCGCAGAUAUCUCAGCAUCCUGCAUUGCCUCUACAAGUGAAUUAAAGGUUUUCAGCUUCAGUGAUUCAAUGUUAUGUUGCUAAUUCCUGUCAUAUAUAUAUAUACUACCUGCGUUUCUGGAGAAGUGUUAUUUUCAUUUUUCCAAUUUUGACCUAUUUUUAGGCUAAAAUGAAAAAAAAUGAAAGUAACACUUAUCCAGAAACGGAGGGAGUAUUAUUUUUUGUUUGGUAUGUUGGAUGCAUAAACACGAAAAAGUGAAAGUAACACUUUUUUAGAAACGGAGGGAGUAUUAUUUUUUGUUUGGCAUGUUGGAUGCCUAAACACAAUUAAGCAAACGUUAUACGGG